rnacentral:rRNA from 2 species
UACAGAGGUGGCAAGCGUUGUUCGGAAUUACUGGGCGUAAAGGGCGCGUAGGCGGCCUUCUAAGUCAGACGUGAAAUCCCCCGGCUUAACCUGGGAACUGCGUCUGAUACUGGGAGGCUUGAGUAUGGGAGAGGGAUGUAGAAUUCCAGGUGUAGCGGUGAAAUGCGUAGAUAUCUGGAGGAAUACCGGUGGCGAAGGCGGCAUCCUGGACCAUAACUGACGCUGAGGCGCGAAAGCUAGGGGAGCAAACGGG